AUACAUACAUGACAGAUGAGACUCCAUGUUGCAGAAGGUGGUUUUCUCAGGGUGAGGCUCACCCCUUGCACUCCUGAUGUGUAGACCCCAUGCUUUCUUCAAAAGGAAGAAACUCAGCUGCCUGAUUUAUGGUAGUGGAGGACUGUGAUGGUUACACUUUUUCCUA